AGGGAGUGGAGUAAGGUCCCAGAGAGUGGAGUAAGGUCCUAGGGAGUGGAAUAAGGUCCUAGAGAGUGGAGUAAGGUCCUAGGGAGUGGAAUAAGGUCCUAGGGAGUGGAGUAAGGUCCUAGAGGGUGGAGUAAGGUCCUAGAGAGUGGCGUAAGGUCCUAGAGAGUGGCGUAAGGUCCUAGAGGGUGGAGUAAGGUCCUAGAGGGUGGAGUAAGGUCCCAGAGAGUGGAGUAAGGUCCUAGAGGGUGGAGUAAGGUCCUAGGGAGUGGAGUAAGGUCCUAGAGGGUGGAGUAAGGUCCUAGAGAGUGGAGUAAGGUCCUAGAGGGUGGAGUAAGGUCCUAGGGAGUGGAGUAAGGUCCUAGAGGGUGGAGUAAGGUCCUAGGGAGUGGAGUAAGGUCCUAGAGGGUGGAGUAAGGUCCUAGAGAGUGGAGUAAGGUCCUAGAUAGUGGAGUAAGGUCCUAGAGGGUGGAGUAAGGUCCUAG